rnacentral:rRNA from 1 species
GACGAACGCAGGCGGCGUGCUUAACACAUGCAAGUCGAACGGAAAGGCCCUGCUUUUGUGGGGUGCUCGAGUGGCGAACGGGUGAGUAACACGUGAGUAACCUGCCCUUGAUUUUGGGAUAACUUCAGGAAACUGGGGCUAAUACCGGAUAGGAGCUCCUGCUGCAUGGUGGGGGUUGGAAAGUUUCGGCGGUUGGGGAUGGACUCGCGGCUUAUCAGCUUGUUGGUGGGGUAGUGGCUUACCAAGGCUUUGACGGGUAGCCGGCCUGAGAGGGUGACCGGCCACAUUGGGACUGAGAGACGGCCCAGACUCCUACGGGAGGCAGCAGUGGGGAAUAUUGCACAAUGGGCGGAAGCCUGAUGCAGCAACGCCGCGUGCGGGAUGACGGCCUUCGGGUUGUAAACCGCUUUCGCCUGUGACGAAGCGUGAGUGACGGUAAUGGGUAAAGAAGCACCGGCUAACUACGUG